GGUGUUGUGCCAGAUAAAUGGGCCAUCUUGAUGUGGUGUAAUAUGUAGGUGAGAGUCCUUCCAGCACUU
rnacentral:tRNA from 1 species